UACGUAGGUGGCAAGCGUUGUCCGGAUUUAUUGGGUUUAAAGGGUGCGUAGGCGGCCCGCUAAGUCAGUUGUGAAAUACCCCGGCUCAACCGGGGGGGUGCGAUUGAUACUGGUGGGCUUGAGUCACAGCGAGGUUGGCGGAAUUGAUGGUGUAGCGGUGAAAUGCAUAGAUAUCAUCAAGAACACCGAUAGCGAAGGCAGCCAACUAGGGGUGAACUGACGCUGAGGCACGAAAGUGCGGGGAUCAAACAGG
rnacentral:rRNA from 1 species